CUAAUGUUGACUUGUGUAUAUGAAGAUCUGCACCAUUUUAUCACAGCCUUUGGAGGAAGCAGUUGCAGGAAGCCCAUAUAUUGAAGGCGACUUAGGAAUUAUUUUUCCAAGAAAAAAGUUACCAAACCUGUGUUCGAAUGGAACUUGGAGACCAAAUGUGCUUGGGCAGGUCCUGAACAACGCAACUGUGAACCUCUGAUUGAAGAAACAAUGGCAAUCAGGAUUGCACUGGCUAAAGCAAAGUUGGAAGGGUGGAGAUUCAGACAGAUUGUAAAGUAGCAGUGGAGAGAAUUAUAUUGGGAAACACUGCUGACCCAAAGAUUGGAUAUUCAGGUGCUGCAGAGGGAAUUUAGAGAGUGUUACUUCUCUUUUGUUCGAAGAGAGGGUAACCAUCAUGUUAGUCACAAGUUGAGAAAGUAUGUCGUUAACUUGAUUAGUGAAAUUAAGUAGAAGGACUUCUUCCCUCUCUGGUUAGUUACUUUAGCUAGAGCAGAUGUAGGGGCAGUUGCUCCAAAUUAGCAACAGCUUUCGGUUUUUAAAUAAAAUGUUAUCGUUGGAAAACCUAAAAAAAAAAAUGAAUGGAACUUGGAGAAGUAAUUUACCCA